UCUUUUCUCAAGACAACUAAUUUUCUAUUUCUAUUGUUUUUACAAAAAGAAAUUAGGAAACGACAGCACUCCAAAAGGUGUAAAGUAAUUUUAGGCAUAUAUACCAACCUACAUAUUCCCCCUCGCGCCUUAGGCCUAAUUACAACUCUACCCCGAGAAUAAUCUAUUUUUCUCCUCACUGUUCUCAAUAUAUCUCGUAAUUUUAUCAACCUACAAGGGCAUUUUCAGCACCUCCUCCCUCUUCCACCACCUCGCCACCUUCUUUCUCCAAAUUCUCCAUUAUCAUACACAUCAAUACGUCGACGUUUUGAUAUCUGUACGAUGCCGGAGAUAGAAAGGCAUAGAACAAGGCAUAACCGACCGGCGAUUCGAGAACCGGUGAAACCGAGAGUACCACUGAGACUAUUGUUCCGAGUAGCUUCGGUUGCCGGUGGAAUUCAAUUCGGUUGGGCGUUACAACUAUCACUGCUCACACCUUAUGUGCAAGAGCUUGGAAUACCGCAUGCUUGGGCGAGCAUAAUAUGGCUCUGUGGACCGCUUUCAGGUUUACUGGUUCAGCCUUUAGUAGGUCACAUGAGUGACAAGUGCACAAGUCGGUUCGGUCGUCGGCGUCCGUUUAUUGUCGCCGGAGCAGUAUCGAUCAUGAUUGCGGUGUUGAUUAUCGGUUUCUCCGCUGAUAUUGGAUGGCUUUUAGGUGAUCGAGGUGAAAUAAAAGUGCGUGCUAUAGCGGCGUUUGUCGUAGGGUUUUGGCUUCUCGAUGUUGCUAAUAAUAUGACUCAAGGACCUUGCAGAGCUCUGCUUGCUGAUCUUACACAAAAGGAUCAUAGAAGAACUCGGGUAGCAAAUGCAUAUUUUUCCUUAUUUAUGGCCAUUGGUAACAUCCUUGGCUUUGCUACUGGAUCUUACAGUGGCUGGUUCAAGAUCUUCCCUUUUACUCUCAAUACUGCAUGCACCAUCAACUGUGCCAAUCUAAAGGCUGCUUUUAUUAUCGACAUUAUUUUUAUUGCAACAACUACAUGCAUUAGCAUAUCAGCGGCCAAUGAGCAGCCUCUAGAUCCCAGUCGUGGUUCCUCUCAUACCAGAGAAGAGAUUGGCGAAUCAAGCCAUGGUCAAGAAGAAGCUUUUCUCUGGGAGUUGUUUGGAAUUUUCAAGUUUUUCCCAGGUGUUGUUUGGGUGAUCCUGCUUGUCACUGCCCUGACAUGGAUUGGAUGGUUUCCGUUUCUUUUGUUCGAUACUGACUGGUUUGGUCGAGAAAUUUAUGGCGGUGAACCAAAUGAUGGAAAGAAUUAUAGUGCAGGAGUGCGAAUGGGUUCAUUGGGUCUAAUGUUGAAUUCUGUGCUUCUUGGACUAACUUCAUUGUUCAUGGAGAAGCUCUGUCGAAAAUGGGGGGCUGGUUUCACAUGGGGAGUUUCAAACGUGGUCAUGUCUCUCUGUUUUAUAGCCAUGCUUAUAAUUACUGCUGUUAGGAGUAACAUAGACAUUGGCCAGGGUCUUCCACCGGAUGGCAUUGUGAUUGCUGCGCUGGUUGUAUUUUCUAUUCUUGGGAUCCCACUAGCUAUAACAUACAGUGUUCCAUAUGCUUUAGUAUCCUCAAGGAUUGAUGCUCUUGGGCUUGGACAAGGCUUGUCAAUGGGUGUGCUGAACCUGGCAAUUGUGUUCCCACAGAUUGUGGUUUCUCUGGGAAGUGGGCCAUGGGAUGAGUUAUUUGGUGGAGGCAAUUCACCAGCCUUUGUUGUGGCUGCGCUUUCAGCAUUUGCUGGUGGACUUAUAGCCAUCUUGGCGAUUCCUCGAACACGGGUUGAGAAACCCAAGAUCUUUGCAUGAGGCUAUUUUGUCAUAUUGGAAGAUGAGAUUGAUGGUGGUGGUAAUUGUCCACAUUGGCCCUGGCAGCCACUUGAUAUUUCUGUUGUGGCCGUUUUGAGUAUUGCUCAAUCUGAAUGCUGAAGAAUUCGCAGAGGUGCCCUGGAAUCUCAUGCAGUUUGCACAUGACUUUGGUGAAUUCAUUUUAUAAAAUUUUGGUUGGAGGCUAACAGUUCCGGCAGACUGAGCCCUUGAUUAAGACUUAAUUAAUCUUUCACUAUGAAAUUUGUGUGUAUUGGAAGCUUGUCUGAUAAGAAAAGGUUCCCUUUUCUAAUAUUCUCUCUUUU